rnacentral:rRNA from 1 species
GAUGAACGCUAGCGGCAGGCUUAAUACAUGCAAGUCGAGGGGCAGCGGGGGUAGCAAUACCGCCGGCGACCGGCAAACGGGUGCGGAACACGUACAGAACCUUCCUUUAAGCGGGGGAUAGCCCAUAGAAAUGUGGAUUAAUACCCCAUAGUAAUAUUGACUGGCAUCAGUUGGUAUUUAAAGAUUUAUCACUUAAAGAUGGCUGUGCGGCUGAUUAGGUAGUUGGUGUGGGUAACGGCCCACCAAGUCAGCGAUCAGUAACUGGUGUGAGAGCACGACCAGUCACACGGGCACUGAGACACGGGCCCGACUCCUACGGGAGGCAGCAGUAAGGAAUAUUGGCCAAUGGACGCGAGUCUGAACCAGCCAUGCCGCGUGAAGGAUGAAGGCCCUCUGGGUUGUAAACUUCUUUUAUCUGGGAAGAAAUGCCUGUUUUCUAACGGGUUUUGACGGUACCAGAGGAAUAAGCACCGGCUAACUCCGUGCCAGCCGCCGCUGUAAU